rnacentral:rRNA from 1 species
UACGUAGGCAGCAAGCGUUGUUCGGAGUUACUGGGCGUAAAGGGUGUGUAGGCGGUUGGAUAAGUGUGGUGUGAAAUCUCCCGGCUUAACUGGGAGGGUGCGCUACAAACUGUCUGACUAGAGUGUGGGAUGGGAAAGUGGAAUUCCUGGUGUAGCGGUGAAAUGCGUAGAUAUCAGGAGGAACACCGGUGGUGUAGACGGCUUUCUGGACCAUAACUGACGCUGAAAA